rnacentral:tRNA from 1 species
GGUGGGGUUCCCGAGCGGCCAAAGGGAGCAGACUGUAAAUCUGCCGUCAUCGACUUCGAAGGUUCGAAUCCUUCCCCCCCUG